rnacentral:lncRNA from 1 species
CUCUUUUUUGUUGUUAAGUUGUUACUUACUGUAACAACUUCAUGGUGAGGAUUGGCACCUAUUUUUCUUUUAAAAAAGCACUGAUCUCGCUCAAAUUGGGACAUUUGAGUGGUCUGCAGUCAGCCGGUCAGGCACUGGCCAAGGGCCCCAGGGUCUCAGAAGGGUCUCUUCCGUCUGCCCUGCCACUCACCACCCUUCCCUGCAGGCCCUAUGUACUCUGGUGGGGGGCAGGGGGCAGUGCCACUUUUUGUAUGGCAGCAAAGCUCAGUUCACAGCUGCAGAAGCUGCUCACCAUCUUAAUUUACGCAAAUUACAAUGCCCUGGCCUAUGGAUCUAAAAAUUCUAUAGGCCACAGUACUGCAUUCUGGGCACAUAUAAGAAGACAGCCAGCCACCACAAUUGAAAACUGAGCCUGGUGAAUUGUCCCCUGCCUGCCUACGAUUAAAAUGCUGCCUGGAAGGGGGUGAAUUGUGUUGUGCUUGCUGCUUCUGUGGGAAAAGGAUGACCAUGGGGAGGGGUUGGAAGGCGUGGGCCUCGUUGAUGACUCUGUGGCAAGAGUCCCGUGAGAUUUAUUUAGCACCGGCCCUAUGUCAGGGAGAAGAUUACCAGCACGGCCUUUUCUUUGACAUGAUACCUUUCUUUCUUUCAAAAUAUUUUUUUAAUGCUAUAUUAUUACAAUUUAUUACCAAAACGGCAAUAUAUCAAACAUCCUUGUUUCCUAUGAAGAAAGAGAAAACAAAUGAAAUGGGACAGGGGAGAAAAAUGACAGGCUGCCUUUCUGUGUGCAGGAAGCUUCUUCGUAUAUGGAACAGUCAAUCACGUGAGGCCAGGUCAGCAGGUUUGAGUUGGUCCAGCCCAGGCAUAAACCACCCUGUGAUCCUUGGAUGAAGGGUGGUAUAGAAAUUUAAUCAAACAAACAAAUAGACCUUAGUAAGAAUUACUAAGCUCAACAAGUCUGGUCACUCCUCCCCCCAAAAAGCUGACAAUGGGUAGAUCACUGCCAGUUUUUUGUACUGGGAGUAGAUCAC